rnacentral:rRNA from 1 species
ACGCUCGACACCUACGGGAGGCAGCAGUAGGGAAUCUUCCACAAUGGACGCAAGUCUGAUGGAGCAACGCCGCGUGAGUGAAGAAGGUUUUCGGAUCGUAAAGCUCUGUUGUUGGUGAAGAAGGAUAGAGGUAGUAACUGGCCUUUAUUUGACGGUAAUCAACCAGAAAGUCACGGCUAACUACGUGCCAGAAGCCGCGGUAAUCUGAGCGGGCUGGCAAGGC